CGAGGCAGAAGUCAUACAGUCCAUCCCCUUGGGCCGGACUCGUUUUUUUUUUUUCAACGACCCGGCGUUUGGUUUCGUCGAGUCGAUAAAGAGGAAACGCGUCCUAGUCCUGCUCUUUUUUUAAAAUCCGGUUCUUCAAUUUACAGAACGGAUUAAAUGCUUUGCACACAAUUAAACCCACUCAGGGUGGAGGACUGAGUGCUACCAGCGCGACACAACCGCGACACACGAAGAAAGAAGUAGCAGACAUGAAGGAAAGGGAAUAAACCCAGCGGAGCUUAUUCGUGGCCUCGACCUGGAAAAAAAAACGACCAGAGAAAAAGGCAAAAAUGAGAACAAUAUUAUUCAAUUAUUGUCUAUGUACAUCUUCAGGACUUUUCCAGGACAUUUUCCAUGACGUUUGCUUGGAUAAGCGUGGCGGUCGUAUUCACGACAGGUCAGUUGGAGCCUCGGUCUCUAAAUGGUCCGUCCAAAAAUACGGCCAAUUUUCACCGCACAACUUUUUCAAAAUGUCCCAUGACCUCUUCUGAUCUAUUUGACGAUUUUCCGGGUGCUUUCCAUGACUGGAUUUCCAGUCUGUAAGUUCCAGGGUUUUCCAGGUUCUUCGGAACAGCAUGCAGACUUACUAAACACUGAAACACCCUUUAUAAGAACUUCUGUUGUAUCCUCGUAACAACGCGGCGACCGUCUAUUUGUCAAAGUUACACAUUAUUUGUACCAUAAUUCAGUGCUGCGGGGCUUUACAAUAAAUAAAUAAAUAAAUAAAUAAACAAAUAAAAUGAAUCAAUUAAUCAAUCCAUUUCUAAUCUUUAGUGUAAUAUCUUUAUUGUUUAAUGCACUUGGGAUUACAGACAUUUGGGGAGUUCAGUGAAACGUGACAGUAUUACAAAAUAUGGUACAAAUGCCCCUAAAGAUAUUUUCACUUCACUCUGUAUAAAAAAAAAAAAGACAAUUAAAAAAAAAAAGAUAA